CAGUCGAGCGCACUGGCCCAACUGAUAUGACGUGCUUGCACUGAUUUGACGAUGGAUUACCAGUGAGCGGCGGACGGGUGAGUAACACGUGGGCAACCUCCCCUAAAGCGGGGGAUAACAUUUGGAAACAGGUGCUAAUACCGCAUAACUACGAAAACCACAUGGUUUUCGUAUAAAAGAUGGUUUCGGCUAUCACUUUAGGAUGGGCCCGCGGUGCAUUAGCUAGUUGGUAGGGUAACGGCUUACCAAGGCAAUGAUGCAUAGCCGAGUUGAGAGACUGAUCGGCCACAAUGGAACUGAGACACGGUCCAUACUCCUACGGGAGGCAGCAGUAGGGAAUCUUCCACAAUGGGCGCAAGCCUGAUGGAGCAACACCGCGUGAGUGAAGAAGGGUUUCGGCUCGUAAAACUCUGUUGUUGAAGAAGAACGUGCGUGAGAGUAACUGUUCAUGCAGUGACGGUAUUCAAUCAGAAAGUCACGGCUAACUACGUGCCAGCAGCCGCGGUAAUACGUAGGUGGCAAGCGUUAUCCGGAUUUAUUGGGCGUAAAGCGAGCGCAGGCGGUUGCUUAGGUCUGAUGUGAAAGCCUUCGGCUUAACCGAAGAAGUGCAUCGGAAACCGGGCGACUUGAGUGCAGAAGAGGACAGUGGAACUCCAUGUGUAGCGGUGGAAUGCGUAGAUAUAUGGAAGAACACCAGUGGCGAAGGCGGCUGUCUGGUCUGCAACUGACGCUGAGGCUCGAAAGCAUGGGUAGCAAACAGGAUUAGAUACCCUGGUAGUCCAUGCCGUAAACGAUGAGUGGUAGGUGUUGGAGGGUUUCCGCCCUUCAAUGCCGCAGCUAACGCAUUAAGCACUCCGCCUGGGGAGUACGACCGCAAGGUUGAAACUCAAAGGAAUUGACGGGGGCCC
rnacentral:rRNA from 1 species